AGAAGGGUUCGACGGCGUAAAGCUCUAUCGAAAAUAAACCUUACAAGCAUAUUUUUGGGGACUGUCCCUGACAAUGGUGAGCAAGCUCAGCUCGUACUGAGAAGCCUAAAGUUGUUAUCAUGGUUACCCACCUUAGCUAAAACAGGUUUACUUUUUCAGAGUGGUCUUCGAGCCUUUUUU
rnacentral:other from 19 species